rnacentral:rRNA from 1 species
GAUGAACGCUGGCGGCGUGCCUUAUACAUGCAAGUCGAGCGAACGGACGAGAAGCUUGCUUCUCUGAUGUUAGCGGCGGACGGGUGAGUAACACGUGGAUAACCUACCUAUAAGACUGGGAUAACUUCGGGAAACCGGAGCUAAUACCGGAUAAUAUUUUGAACCGCAUGGUUCAAAAGUGAAAGACGGUCUUGCUGUCACUUAUAGAUGGAUCCGCGCUGCAUUAGCUAGUUGGUAAGGUAACGGCUUACCAAGGCAACGAUGCAUAGCCGACCUGAGAGGGUGAUCGGCCACACUGGAACUGAGACACGGUCCAGACUCCUACGGGAGGCAGCAGUAGGGAAUUUUCCGCAAUGGGCGCAAGCCUGACGGAGCAACGCCGCGUGAGUGAUGAAGGUCUUCGGAUCGUAAAACUCUGUUAGUAGGGAAGAACAUAUGUGUAAGUAAAUGUGCACAUCUUGACGGUACCUAAUCAGAAAGCAACGGCUAACUACGUG